UACACCAUACAAGUAGGCCACAGUUAAUCACACAAGUAAAAUAUUUAAACAAACAUGUGAUCAAAUCAAAUAAUCAAAGAAAAGAAAUGAAUGAGCAUUAAACAACGUGUAAGUGUAAGGGAACCGGCUCAUUGUAAGAAAGCCCAAGAGUAAGCUAUGUGAGGUUGAUGGCGAUGCUUAAAAGCAAUCGACUUACAAGGGUGUAAAAAAUGGGCUCGAUAUUAAAUCGAGAAAAGUAUGAUUUUUAUAGUUUGAGAAAAAUGGUUUUUUGAACUAAAUUCAAAUACAAUAACUAUGCAUUAUUAACAAAUGAAAUUAUAAUAAACAUAAAAAACAGAUAUUAACAAAAUACUAAAAGAAUAAAAAUGCUAAAGGAAAAAUACCAUCAAACAAAAAGCAAAAAGUGUCACACAUGAGUAUUGAACCCUCCCCACCUAAUAUUAUGCAACUGAACUCUCUCCACUAGGCCACUCAAUACUAUCUGCUAUUGAGAUACUACCAUAAAUAUAUGAACUGGGCUAACAGAUUUAAAAUAAAUAAAUAAAAAAACAAAACAAACAUUUUAAUGGGUUUUUAUUAUCUCUGUUAAAAAACAAAAUAAGCUAAAUAAAUAAAAAGUAAAUAAUAAUAAUAAAAGAAAAUAAAAACAUAUACAUUUUUCUGAUUUUUGUGUUAAAAAUGAAAUAAAUUAAAUAAUAAAAGAAUUAAUUAAAAAGAAAAAAAGAAAUUGGAAACAGAAGCUCGUCUCCCUCACUCUCUCUCACCUUACGAGCUCAAACCUUCAGCAUCUCACUCGCAUCUUUCCAUCUCUCACACGAAUCCCUCUCUCGCUCUCAACAAACCCCUCUCAAUCACUCUCAACUCUCACAAUAUUUUCAACAGCAAGCACAUGAGAAAGAUAAAAAAGAAAGAAAGAGAAGUACUUACAAAGUGUCACAGCGGUGGUGGUGAAGGACACGAAGAAGCUGGCCUCCAGGUAAUUGAUUUUGGGAUUUUUAGGGUUUCUUCUCAGAUUUUCGCCUCCAGCUCUCUGUGUUCUCUAGGNNNNNNNCAAACUCUUCAUUCCGCACUUAGGGGUUGAUAGUUGAUAAAAUCUUGUCCGUGAACACGCGAAAUGCCUCAUCUGCUAUAGCUUUAUCAAGUUCAUUCUCAGCAUUUGGGGAACAAUCAAUACGGCGAACUAGUUCUUGAAGGGAUUUAUUAUUCAAAGCAUCACGAAUCUCACUAGAAGAAGCUAUAGCCUCCAAUUGGAAUUGGUCCAACACCUGGCCUCUUUUAUCAACAAGUAAUGGUUUUUCUACAACUGCUUCCAAAACAGUAUUUUCCACAACUACUUCCAAAACAGUAUUUUCCACAACUGAUGGCUUUUCUACGUGUGAUUCCAAAGCAGUUGUUUUCGGUGUUGAAUUUGUUGGAUUGACACAUGGAAGUUCUUUGUGGUUUUUGAAACAGGCCAGUGAGCAAUAAGGUAAAUAGCAUUUAGGGCAUUUGUACUUGGACUGAACUUUGUGGCAGAUUUAACAUUGCUUAGGACCCAUUGAACUUGAAUUCCUAACUUCAAUAUUGACAGGACUUUUCGAUUCCAAGCGUGAUGAGGGGGGCAACACAGUUUCAUUUUCAUCACUGUCCGUUGAAGCUAUGCACGUAUCAUUACAUACAGGUUUCGUAAAUGUGGCAUGACAGUUAUCACCAAACGAUUUUCUUGCAGCAUCGUAAGAUUCAACAUGUUUUCCUUUGAUUUCAUGAAGACCAAACUGUGUUUCUGCUACCGACGCUCUGCAGGUAAUAUUUCCGCCGUCGACCUCCCUGGUGGUGGUAAUCAAAGAACAACAUUCGUCCUUGUGACCUUGCCUCCAGUGACUAAUUUGACGCUUACCCGAACUACAAGAAAGCAUGCUUGUGUAAAUGAAUAACAACUAGAGAAGUCUGGAGACACGUAACAGUAUCCAACGGCUUUGCAAUGAGAACAUCUCAUAGUGGUAGGAGAAUUUUUGGAGAAUUGGUGUUGUAUCAGCCACUUUGCAACUCGCACACCAAAUGUUUGGUAAAAUUCCUUAACCAAAUUUCUUUCCUUUUUCUGUUUCGGUCUCUUGUAAUUAAGAUGCUGAAUUGUCGUGCUAUUGGUGAUGCCAGCUACAGGUAUGAAGAUGGUUUCCAGUUGCCUUGUUAGCAGGAUUUAGGAACUCACUCAAGUGGCAACAGGUUUUGUGUUGCAUUUGAUUCAUAGCAUUAGAGCAAGUGUGUUGCAUGUGUUUUUGCAGGUUCAGUUGGUGCAGCACAACACAUAAAAUGGCAUUGUUGUAGUACAAGUCAUGAUGGGAGCCAUGUUGAGGUAUAUCUCAUGGUGUGGAUUGAUGAAGGGGUAUCAUGUUGUUUGCUUUCCACCUUGAGAUUACCACGCAGGUGAACCGGCGAAGAUGCUAUGCCCGAAUACUUGGUUUCUCUGUUGAUAAACUCAGAACUAAUAUCAGAAUGCUUUCCGGUGUUCGACAAGUUAUUCAGCAAAUAUUUCUGAUGAGUCUUGUUGCUUAUAGUCUCUGAUGUCUCAUUUGAUUUUACCUCAUCAUUAGUUUCUGUAAUAUGACUCAAAGUACUUCUCAAAGACUUCAACUUUUUUUUGAAAUUAUUCAUCUUUUUCUUGACAGGGUUGAGUUGCACUUUGGAUAAGCAAACAUUUUCGAAAGGAGAUAUCAAAUUAGAGACUUCCACUUUAGCAGGGUGUAACUUCUGCAAUGAGUGAACUCUGUCCAUUUCAAGAAGUCUGAAAAUCUCCAUAGCAGGGGAGCAGGACCUUCCUCUUUUUGUGAAUCUAUAUAUCCUCCCCGAUGAGCAAUACUAGCAGCUGGCAUCGGACGAGUCUGCACCAGAAAUUUUGCCUCCUCAAAGAACUCUUGUGCUCCAGGCAAUAAGCUCAUUUUCGAUAGUACCACAUUCUUCUGGUUUCCAGUUAGAUAAUUUCAGCUGGUAAACUCCAAUAAUAAGGGCUCCGAGUGGAUCAUUCCAAGAGUUAACAUUUUUUGACUCCAAAUUUGAAGCUAGCCAAGAAGCACCUUCCAUAACUUCAAGCACAUUGAGAAGCCUGCUCAGAAGAACAAAUGAGUAAUCCUCAAGCCCAAUCUCACAGAGCCGNGUUGAAGCUAUGCACGUAUCAUUACAUACAGGUUUCGUAAAUGUGGCAUGACAGUUAUCACCAAACGAUUUUCUUGCAGCAUCGUAAGAUUCAACAUGUUUUCCUUUGAUUUCAUGAAGACCAAACUGUGUUUCUGCUACCGACGCUCUGCAGGUAAUAUUUCCGCCGUCGACCUCCCUGGUGGUGGUAAUCAAAGAACAACAUUCGUCCUUGUGACCUUGCCUCCAGUGACUAAUUUGACGCUUACCCGAACUACAAGAAAGCAUGCUUGUGUAAAUGAAUAACAACUAGAGAAGUCUGGAGACACGUAACAGUAUCCAACGGCUUUGCAAUGAGAACAUCUCAUAGUGGUAGGAGAAUUUUUGGAGAAUUGGUGUUGUAUCAGCCACUUUGCAACUCGCACACCAAAUGUUUGGUAAAAUUCCUUAACCAAAUUUCUUUCCUUUUUCUGUUUCGGUCUCUUGUAAUUAAGAUGCUGAAUUGUCGUGCUAUUGGUGAUGCCAGCUACAGGUAUGAAGAUGGUUUCCAGUUGCCUUGUUAGCAGGAUUUAGGAACUCACUCAAGUGGCAACAGGUUUUGUGUUGCAUUUGAUUCAUAGCAUUAGAGCAAGUGUGUUGCAUGUGUUUUUGCAGGUUCAGUUGGUGCAGCACAACACAUAAAAUGGCAUUGUUGUAGUACAAGUCAUGAUGGGAGCCAUGUUGAGGUAUAUCUCAUGGUGUGGAUUGAUGAAGGGGUAUCAUGUUGUUUGCUUUCCACCUUGAGAUUACCACGCAGGUGAACCGGCGAAGAUGCUAUGCCCGAAUACUUGGUUUCUCUGUUGAUAAACUCAGAACUAAUAUCAGAAUGCUUUCCGGUGUUCGACAAGUUAUUCAGCAAAUAUUUCUGAUGAGUCUUGUUGCUUAUAGUCUCUGAUGUCUCAUUUGAUUUUACCUCAUCAUUAGUUUCUGUAAUAUGACUCAAAGUACUUCUCAAAGACUUCAACUUUUUUUUGAAAUUAUUCAUCUUUUUCUUGACAGGGUUGAGUUGCACUUUGGAUAAGCAAACAUUUUCCAAAGGAGAUAUCAAAUUAGAGACUUCCACUUUAGCAGGGUGUAACUUCUGCAAUGAGUGAACUCUGUCCAUUUCAAGAAGUCUGAAAAUCUCCAUAGCAGGGGAGCAGGACCUUCCUCUUUUUGUGAAUCUAUAUAUCCUCCCCGAUGAGCAAUACUAGCAGCUGGCAUCGGACGAGUCUGCACCAGAAAUUUUGCCUCCUCAAAGAACUCUUGUGCUCCAGGCAAUAAGCUCAUUUUCGAUAGUACCACAUUCUUCUGGUUUCCAGUUAGAUAAUUUCAGCUGGUGAACUCCAAUAGUAAGGGCUCCGAGUGGAUCAUUCCAAGAGUUAACAUUUUUUGACUCCAAAUUUGAAGCUAGCCAAGAAGCACCUUCCAUAACUUCAAGCACAUUGAGAAGCCUGCUCAGAAGAACAAAUGAGUAAUCCUCAAGCCCAAUCUCACAGAGCCGUCACUUUUGACGCAUGGCUAUUGCAGAAUCUGGAGCAUCAUUUCUGAGGCCACUUUCAAGAUCCUUCACAAUAGUAUCUCUCAAAGCAUUCAAAGACUCCAUGGUUUUAAAUAAAAGUUUAACUCCUUGUUCUUUUGAAGUUGUUGAUUCUGCUGUAGCAUCCAUAUUCUUUUUGCACUCAAAAAAUGAAUCAAGUGCUGACAUGCCAUAUUCAUCCAGAGAUUCAUAAAUUGAUUCUAGCUGUUCGGCAAGACUGCCAGCAUUAAAGAAGUCUUUGAGUUCCCGAUGAAAUAUCUUGAACUGUUCUACAAAUGUUUCACUAUAUUCUCCAGGGUUCUUUGUGAUUUUAGCAAGCAUAGCUUCUGUAGCAACCAAGUCUUCAGGACCUGCAUUACGGUGAAGCUUGUUUUGUAUUGUAUGUUUAAUUUGUGUCUUGAGGUCAUGAGUUGGCAUUUUAUGCAGAGUUCACACAUGUUGGAUUAUUUAACCAAGGAGCAAUAACUAGCAAUGGUAUUAUUGGACAUCAUGGAACUUGCGCAGGCGGUACCUGCAAGUCUGAUACAGGGAUACAUGGUGAUUUUAACUUGAACAAAUUUGAGGAUGGUGUUCUGUCAUCUGCUGCAGUAGGAAGUGUUUGAUAUGGUUGUGCAACCGUACUGGCUCACUUCAGGUUGUGGGUUACUUCCUUGUUUCCUUUUGCCGCUCAUGCAGGUUAUGGCUUCAUGUGUUGGACAAACAAAUUUUCAUGACACCAACAAGAAUCAUGAAGCAUUAUGCUUACUUGGCCAAUCCAAGAUCAAAAUGGAAUAUGGGAGAUCAAGGUCAAGGAUUUGGGAUUUUAGGGUUUUUUAGGAUUGGGUUGACCUUGGUCAAAGUUGACCAAAAAGUCAACUGUUGACCAAAGUCAACAAUUGGUCAAAAAUGCAUUUUUUGUAUUUUCUUGUGUAAAUGGAUAAUGAAUCAAUUAUUAUGGGGAAAUUUUUGGGUUUAGGGAAUUUGGGUUGACUUUGGUCAAAGUUGACCAAAAAGUCAACUGUUGACCAAAGUCAACAAUUGGUCAAAAUGUCAAUUUUUGUGUAUUUUUUGUAUGGAAUCAAAUGUAAUGAAAUAAAAUUGAAAUGGAUUAAUAAAAUGGUUUGAAGUUGGUUUCACAAUUGGUUUAAUCAUGACUUGAAUGUUUGACUUUUGAAAAAUAACUUGACUGAUAAUGCACAUAAACAAGGCCAUGAAAUGAGACCAUACGGUCAGGGUUUUGACAUAGUAUCCAUGAACCAAUAACACGACUAGCAAGUGGCUUGAAACACAAGAAGCUUGAUUGUUCAGAUGACCAAGACCAUAUGUGCAUUAACAAUCACAUGAACAAACACCAUGACUUUAGACCAAGACCAAUCCUCAUAUAAAACCAAAGUAAGGUUAGGCCAAGCAUGCUAAACGAACAUAACAGAUUCAGGAGCAAAAUCGGGGUAUGACAGCUGCCCCUAUUUAAGCGUCUUCAACUAGAGAAUAUGAGGCAGGACACUCUUCAUAUGAUCAAAGUGGGAGAUGGUUAAAUACUAAGAAGACCCGGAUUUUGGACCGAAUCCCUGUGAAAUAAAUAACAAUGCUUGUCAGAUCGUUAAAGAAGCAAUCCCAAAAGAAGAAUCCGUUCUGGUAUGGUGAAAGUCGGCUGAGUACGCGAAACAGAGAGUUGACCUGGAAACCAAAAUAAAUGGUAGCAGGAAUACCAUGGCCUGAACGCCGCACAUUAGUCUGAACACUAAGCAUUGGAAUAAGAGAGUAUCAAUGUUGGUCUGAUCACCGGAAAUCUGGUCUGAACACCAUUUCGAUCUGGAAAUCGGAAAACUGGCCUGAAUGCCACAAGUACUUCGACUUGAUCGUGAAACUUCUUCGAUCUGAAUGUCGGAGAACUGGCCUGAAACGCCACUUCGGUCUGGAUACGAAAAAACUGGCCUAUGCCACUUCGGUCUGGAUACCGGGAACACUGGUCUGAAUACCAUAAGUUCUUCGUGCCUGAUUGUUGAGAACUUCUUCGAUCUGGAAAUCGGAAACUGGCCUGAAUGCCACUUCGGUCUGGAUACCGGGGAACUGGCCUGAAUGCCACUUUCGGAAUCUGGAUACCGGAAACUUCUUCGAUCUGAAAAUCGGGAAAGACUGGCUUGAAUGCCACAAGUUCUUCGUCCUGACUGUUGAGAACUUCUUCGAUCUGGAAAUCGGAAACUGACCUGAAUGCCACUUCAGGAGCAUGCUAAACGAACAUAACAGAUUCAGGAGCAAAAUCGGGGUAUGACAGCGGUGACCUUGAAAGCCUCUUGUUUGGUGGUUGUUCUCCAUAGAUCCCCCCACCUUCUCGGAUAGAUUCCCUAGUAGAGUUGCUUAUGCGGUGGAUUUUAUUUGUGCAAUAACUCCUGUCCCCAGCUGGAAUGACUGAUGUUUGUUCCCCUGCAGAGAUCUUUGCUUCCUGGUAUCUCUUGCCCUCAUCAGAUUGGAUACUCUCCGGUGAACCUGGCUUUCUCUCUUGAGAUGUAGUACCGGAUGUUUGUGUACUUAUUCUUUGGAGCUGUUUGUGUUAGAAAUGUCCGUUUGUCAGCAUUCAUACAUAAACCAUGCAUGCAUGCACAUAGUUUUCAAACAUUCAGAUAUUCAUGAUUGCAUUCUUUGCCAUAUAUCUUUGUUUGUAAUCCCCUGCUAGUGGGUAAUAUGCUUCCCAAGCAGAUGUCGGUGUCUGAUCUCCCCAUGAAGUCAGCCCCUUAAGCAGAAAGUGUUUAUCUUUCCUUCCAUAUUCCCCACCGAGUUAUAUCCUCGUGGAUGAUGGUUGUUUUUGUUCCUUCCCAACAUAUAUUGGGAUGGGUUUCCCUAUUGAGUUAAUCCUCACUAGGACGAGUCUUGAUUCAGCUGCCCUCUUUAGUUUGAUCCUAGAUUGGCUUUUGUGAUUGUUCCUGCACUCCCUGUGGUAUAGAUGAAUAGUUGCUCAGUAACCAGUAAUUAUCCAUCUUUGCCUCGGCAGAGUCUGUGGUUUUCUACCUGAGUCAGAUUUUUUCCUGAGUUGAAAUAUACCUUUUAGGUCUUCCUCAGAUGAUUUGGUUGAUUGAUAUCUCUCACCCUUAUCGGUCUUAGAUAUUCAUUCUCCCGGAGCAUGUUUUUCCCUCACCCUUAUACCGGUGGGAUUACAUGAUCUCUUUUUGAGCUUAUUACCCAGUAACCGGUAAUACCUCAUUUAUUUUUCCUCGGCUGAGUCCUUAGUGGACAUCUCCACCUGAGUCCGGAUUUUUAUCCGAAGUAUCCGUUGCGGAUAAUUUUGCUGUAUUGGCAUAUUCCCCAAUACAUGCAUUUCUGAGUCAGCUUGAGUCCUUCCAUGGAUUCUCUCAGUGUCUCUCAGCAAGUUUUAAGUUGUGACCUGCUCACGCGUUUUCAUCCCUUUACUCCCGGUAGAGUCUCUGCCCCAUAAGAAUUAAUUAUCCAUAGAAAUCGUCGGUUUCCUUCUGAUCUUUGCCUUUGUGGACCUAUCCCCAUAGAGUUUUACCAUUUCCAUACAUACAUCUGCAUCAUGAGGUCUCUUAGGGACCAAAAUUCGUCUCUUUGUUAUUAUUUAAGCCCAUUCUACCCAGUCGAGACGAAGAUUUUAACCUUCACUUCUCCGGAUAGAAUGAUCUUAAAUAGGGGCAUCUGUAAGACCCCAAUUUUGUCCCUAAGAUCCCUCAUAGCAUCAUAACAUUGCAUUUGCAUUGCCUCAAGGAUCAUAAGCAUCUUGGUUCCCCUUACCUUUGGGUGGGACCUCUUGUGAGUGGUUUGAGAUCACCAAGCAUGCUUGAUUUGUAUAUCAUUGCUUUUCUCAUUUUGUUUAUUAACUAAAAGCACAAAAAUAUGUCACUAACAUCUUUUGUUUGUAGCUUGAGCAAUCACAAGGUCAAGAGCUUCAAGGAGAUCCUUUGUGCAGAGAUAUGGCCAAGUGAAGAUGAUAACAAGCAUGGUAAUGGUUCCCAAAGCUCUCAUCCAUCAAAUAUGCCUCCCUAGCAUCUCAAUUCAUCAUUUUGACCAAAUCAAGACAAAGGGUUUGAGGUUUGUUCCCCAAGGAAACCUUAAUUCAUCUGUGCACCAUAAUGCAUUGCUCUUGAAGCAACCUCAGCCCAUGAUCAAAUAAAAUCAAGGGAAGUUCUUUAAUUCAUCAUUUCAGGCAUAUUUGAACUUAUUUGAGUGUCCUCAAUCAUUAAUUCAUCAAGAUAUGAGUCAUGGACUUGAGAAGUUGAUCAGUCAAUUCAUCUGACUAUUUUGAAAUGCAUUGAGACCUAACUUUUUAUGUGUUGGUCAAAUGGAGAUGAUACCAAAAGAAAAAUUGAUCUUAAGGACAAUAUGAACAACUUUCAUGUUCAUCAAAAAUUGAUUUGAAGCUUGGAAGGUCAUCUCCCAUUCCAAGACAUUAUAGGUCAUUUUGACUGAAACCCUAAUUUUUGGUCAACUUCCCAAGGACAUAACUCAUUCAUUUUUUAUGAUUUUGAGGUGGGAUUAGAUGAAUUGGAAAGCUUAAGAUGUAUAAUUCAAAUGUUAUGUUGAACAAAAUUUCAAAAUCUCAACGGAAAUACAUGUGAUAAUGCAAAACAUUAUAGGUCAUUUUGGACCAAAUGCAUUGAAAGGCAAAAAAGUCCAACUUCAAGUGCCCAUAACUCUUUAAUCGAAAAUCCAAAUGAUGCAAAAUUUAAGUCCAUUUUGAUUGUCUUGAAAAGAUCUACAACUUUGAUGUUGGAGGGUUUCCCAUGUGAGGCUUGCAUCAUCAAAACAGAGGGGCUUGAACAUUGGCCAAAUUUAGAAACUUUGCCUUUACAUGUUUUGCACCUUGCACUUUAAACUCCAAUUUCACCAAUUUCCACACUUCAAAUGGAUUUUCCAACAUAACAAUUGUUCCUUACAUCAAAACCUUUCCAACCAGUACUCACAUGCUCAUGUUUGGAUUUGGCAAAUGGCAUUUUCGAAGAGGGGAAGUUUUUGGUUCAAUUAUGCAUAACAUAUCAAAACUCCAUGCACAAGCCAAUUCACUCCAAGCUGCGCGUCCAAAUCAUCUCACAUUCAUUUCAGAUUGCAUUUGGCAUUGAAUUUGGGCCUUUUGCAUGACCAUUCAAGCCCAUGCAAUGGAUAUCUAAUUCCAUGCACACGGAUUGAAUCACACUCUCCUUGCCAUUCCAUCUAUAAAUAAGAGCUCCAUUCCAUUCAAAUCUCAUCCAUGAAUCAACCUGAAAUGUUGCAGAACUGAAAACCUAACCUCUCACCAAAGGAGAUAUUUCACUUUUCUUCAUUUUUUUAGAUCUAAAAUUCAACUACAUCUGGUUGAAUCUUUGGAUCUAAAGCUCCUAGACCUCUCUCUCAUACUCCAUUGAUCUUCUGUUUUUCCAAAGGAAGCAAGGAAGCAAGCUCAAAUCUCCAGAAUUCAAGGUUGUUAUUCAACUGGUUUUUUCUUCGAAUCUCACCAAUUAUUGAUCUAUUUGCUUGGAUUUUGUGUUGGCUGAAGUCCUUUUCAUAGAGGCAAUUAUUUUGUAUGCUCAAUUAUUGAAAUCCAUGAAGUUCACUUGAACAUCACAGAAUUUCCAUCUCUGAUUUCUCUCAAUAUAGAGAUCUAGAGUGGAAUUGAGUGAUACAGGGAUGAUGUACAUCAUCCCAAAUUAUUGAAAUCCAUGAAGUUCACUUGAACAUCACAGAAUUUCCAUCUCUGAUUUCUCUCAAUAUAGAGAUCUAGAGUGGAAUUGAGUGAUACAGGGAUGAUGUACAUCAUCCCAGCUUUCCAACGAUGUAUGGAUCAAGCAUUUUGGUUAAGCUUUUGAAACCUGCAAAUGUCACCGAAAUAUUCAUGCUCACCGGAGAAGAAGCUGGCUCCGGUGGCCGUCCCUUUGCCAGAUGCGUUGUGGACCAUUGGAUCUGAUCUCCAGUUUAUAUCCCAGCCAUUGGAUCUUUUGACUUGGACUUAUGGUGGAAGCGUGCUUCUGGAGCGUAUGAUCUAUCAGCUCAAUGAAUGAGCUCAGAUCUAACGCUCAUUGUUUUUUUGAAUUUCUUAUUUUCUGAUUUUAUUUCUUUUAUUUCUAUUAUUUUCAAAAAUUCAUAUCUUCUUCAUUUUAAAUCCAAAAAAUAUGGGAUCAAUUGCAUUCUUCUCCAAAUAAUUUCUAGUUUCUAAUUUUGAUUUUUAAUAUUUUUUAUUUUAUCAUUUGAUAUUUUUUGUGAAUUUUCUCUUUUCUGGUUGUUUUUAAUUCGUUUUAAAUAGUUUUUGAUAUUCAAAAAAUACAAAAAUAUUUUCCCAACCUAUUUGAAUGAUGAUGAAUCUAUGAAAAAUAUUCUCAUCAAUUUUUUAAUUGAUUUGAGAUUUAUUUGAGAUUUUAGUUCAAUUAGGUUAUUUUUAUUCAUUUUUAAUUGAUUAAAAAUAGUUUCUGACUUUUAAAAAUGCUGAAAUUUUUUGUCAAACUUUGUUUGACCUUGUUGAACUUCGGAUAAAUCACUUGGACCUUUCAAGGUUGAUUUGAAGUGAUUUUGAAGUUUGACCUUUCUUUUAUUUUUAAUUCAAGUUUAUUUUAAUAUUAAAAAAUGCCAAAAAUAUUUUGCUUAUUUGUUUGACCUCCAAUCUUUAUCUCAUUUCUGAUUUCUCAUUGUUUGACUUUGACUUUCAAUGUCAUUUGGUCAAUAUACAUGGAUUGGUACAUUUUAUUUCAUCUUAUGCACUUUAUUCUUUCCAUUUCUUCUUCCAUCAUUCAUCUCUUUCUUUUUCUUCUCCUUUUUUCUUUUUGAUCAAUGAGUUGAAGGUUGAUAAGUUAGCAUUGAUUAGGGAGGCUUAAUCUUCCUUGAUUCAAAUCUAAUUCAUCUUGAUCAAUUGAUCAAAUGAAUGGCUUUGCAUUAAAGAUAGGUUGUCUCCUAAAUCAUGCAAAAGACUUAAACCAAUACAAGAUCAAUUCUCUUCUUCUUUUUGGCAUGACAAGUUGUUGAAAAUUGGUUCACUAAUCAAGAUUUAUAACUUGUGUUGUUGCCUACAUUAUUAUUGACCGGCCUCAGAUAGUUGUGACUUCUACAUAAGUCCAAUUACGAUUGCUUAACAUAGCGCUAAACUUGCCUUAUGGCACACUAACUACUAACACUAGCCAUUAACCAUUAACAUUUACUUUUUGCUCUUUACUUUUAUGCAAUUUACUAUUCUUGUACAUAUUAUCCAUUUGCUUUUACCCUUGCUCAUUUGAGCACAUGUUUAUGUUAAUGCAAUUUGCCCUUUGCUCACUUGAGCACAUAAUUAUGUAUAUACUAUUGUGAUUGUGUUUUGUUUUGAUUGUGUUGGACCAAAUGCAAAAAAUGGACAAAUGGACUUAGUUUCUAGGACAUUCCCUAUGCAAAAAUAUUGGAGUAAAUGGACCUUAAUGUUGAAGAUGGAUUAGAAGGACCAAAUCUCUAAACUCACUCUUGUCCAUUCUUGAUUUACUUCAUGGAACUUUUGAUGUGUGUGCUUUUGUGCUAGGGAAUUAUAUGAGAGCUCAAAUUGAAGGACCAUUGCCAUGUUCAUCCAAAGUGAAAGACACAAGAUACAUUGAGGAUCUCUUAAGAGGCUUGCUUGAUUGUUGCUUGAGCUUAUUAUCAUUAUGCUUGCAUGUUCCAAAGGAUGGGAGCUACUUGGAUCAUCCAUAUGAUCUCAAGAGAGGAACUCCUUUUGUGGUUUUGUUUCUUUAUCCCUCAACAUUUUGCAUUGCUUUGGACUUUAGCCCUUCUUCUUCUUCUCUCCACUCUAACCCAAGCCAAAACUUUUGUGCAAACAUCUAAUACUUGUUUUAACAUUAGAAACCUAAGCCUUAUGCUUUUGAUUUUCAAACUUUCUUUUCAUAAUACUUAUUUUGAAUUGAAUCUUUAAGUUAACUUUGACCACUUUGUAUAUACUUCUAAUUGGUAAAUAUAACCCAUUCAAAUGUCUUUUUGUGGUUCCAAUGGCCACUUCCUUCAUCAAAUUUUUUCAUAACCUUUAGCUAUUAGGUUUGAGUUAUCUUGGUGGUAGAUGUAAUACUCACCUAUAUCCUUAGUGAUGGACGAUGAGUCUUCCAUGCUUAUUAUAGGGUUAACCCCUCUCUAGCAUGUUGAAGCUAUCCUCACAUGGUGGAUUUGUGGUUUUAGGUUGAGUUUUCUCCCUUGGAUAACAAAAGACCUUAAGGCUUUUGGAAUCAAUUCACCAACUUGUUUUUUUGAAGAUUUUUACCCCGAACUACGAGGUUUUGAUCCUAAUCUUUUUUAAGAUGGUACGUAGGCAAUGGGUUCAGCCAUCCAAACACAAAAAUGUAAAUAACUUGUAUAUUCUCUUUCUCACCCCUCAAUCAU
rnacentral:lncRNA from 1 species